rnacentral:misc_RNA from 1 species
GAUGAAGAACGUAGCGAAAUGCGAUAAGUAAUGUGAAUUGCAGAAUUCAGUGAAUCAUCGAAUCUUUGAACGCACAUUGCGCCCCUUGGUAUUCCGAGGGGCAUGCCUGUUCGAGCGUCAUUAUAACCCUCAAGCUCAGCUUGGUGUUGGGGCCUGCUGCACUGGCAGCCCUUAAAAUCAGUGGCGGCGCCAUCUGGCUCUAAGCGUAGUAAUUCUUCUCGCUAUGGAGUCCUGGUGGAUGCUUGACAUCAACCCCCAAUUUUUCUAUGGUUGACCUCGGAUCAGGUAGGGAUACCCGCUGAACUUAAGCAUAUCAAUAAGCGGAGGA